AACGAACGCUGGCGGCAGGCCUAACACAUGCAAGUCGAACGGAUCCUUCGGGAUUAGUGGCGGACGGGUGAGUAACGCGUGGGAACAUACCCAAAGGUACGGAAUAGCCUCGGGAAACUGGGAGUAAUACCGUAUGUGCUCGAAAGAGGAAAGAUUUAUCGCCUUUGGAUUGGCCCGCGUUGGAUUAGGUAGUUGGUGGGGUAAUGGCCUACCAAGCCGACGAUCCAUAGCUGGUUUGAGAGGAUGAUCAGCCACACUGGGACUGAGACACGGCCCAGACUCCUACGGGAGGCAGCAGUGGGGAAUCUUAGACAAUGGGGGAAACCCUGAUCUAGCCAUGCCGCGUGAUCGAUGAAGGCCUUAGGGUUGUAAAGAUCUUUCAGGUGGGAAGAUAUGACUGUACCACCAGAAGAAGCCCCGGCUAACUCCGUGCCAGCCGCCGCAGUAA
rnacentral:rRNA from 1 species